GCAAGUCGAGCGGUAACAGGAGUAGCUUGCUACUCGCUGACGAGCGGCGGACGGGUGAGUAACGCGUAGAAAACUGCCCGGUAGUGGAGGAUAGCCCAGAGAAAUUUGGAUUAAUACUGCAUACGCUCUACGGAGGAAAGCGGGCUUCGGCUCGCGCUAUCGGAUGUGUCUGCGUGAGAUUAGCUAGUUGGUGAGGUAAUGGCUCACCAAGGCGACGAUCAGUAGCCGACCUGAGAGGGUGAUC
rnacentral:rRNA from 1 species